rnacentral:rRNA from 1 species
UAAUACAGAGGGUGCAAGCGUUGUUCGGAAUUAUUGGGCGUAAAGCGCGCGUAGGCGGUUACAUAAGUCUGACGUGAAAGCCCGGGGCUCAACCCCGGAAGUGCAUCGGAAACUGUGUAACUAGAGUCCCGGAGAGGAUGGUGGAAUUCCAGGUGUAGAGGUGAAAUUCGUAGAUAUCUGGAGGAACAUCAGCGGCGAAGGCGGCCAUCUGGACGGUGACUGACGCUGAGGUGCGAAAGCGUGGGGAGCGAACAGGAUUAGAUACCCUGGUAGUCCACGCCGUAAACGAUGGAUACUAGGUGCAGCGGGUAUUGACCCCUGCUGUGCCAAAGCUGACGCAUUAAGUAUCCCGCCUGGGAAGUACGGCCGCAAGGCUA